UAGUGUAGAUGUGAAUCAUCGAAUCUUUGAACGCAUAUUGCACUGCUUGGUUUUCCAGGCAGUAUAUCUGUUUGAGUAUCAGUUACUCAUCAGACUCUAGGUCUUUUAGUAGUCGUAAGGCGAAAGAUGACACGGAGUCUGGAUUUGGGACUUUUUCUUGACCUCGGUCGAGACAUGUCCUUCAAUACAUAGGUGUCUGGUCCGCCAGGUGCCGUUGUACAAUCACUUGGACUGAUCGCUGGUGAACAUGUUCGUCUUGCGAAUCCUCAGUCUGAGACGGUUGGCCGUAAGUAGUCCUCGGACUAUCUUACCAAUUGAUCUCAAAUCAGAUAAGACAACCCGCUGAACUUAAGCAUAUCAAUAAGCGGAGG
rnacentral:rRNA from 1 species